rnacentral:rRNA from 1 species
ACUAUCUGUUCAUUUUCCCCUUAUGAAAAAGGCUUAAAAAUCAGGGGGGAGCCUGGUUAGUACUUGGGUGGGAGACCACCUAGGAAGACCAGGUGCUGUAGGUG